UCCAGACUCCUACGGGAGGCAGCAGUUUGGAAUUUUGGACAAUGGGCGAAAGCCUGAUCCAGCGACGCCGCGUGGACGAUGAAGGCCUUCGGGUUGUAAAGUCCUUUUGCUCGGGAACAAUUUUUGAGCGUACCGAGAGAAUAAGAGGUUGCUAACUCUGUGCCAGCAGCAGCGGUAAUACAGAGACCUCAAGCGUUAUCCGGAAUCAUUGGGCGUAAAGCGUUCCGAUAGGUGGUUUUACAAGUCAGAAGUGAAAUCUCUCAGCUCAACUGGGAGACUGUCUUUUGAUACUGUAAAACUAGAGGGGCAAAGAGGAAGCUGGAACAAACGGUGUAGUAGUGAAAUGCGUUGAUAUCGUUUGGAACACCAAUAGCGUAGGCAGGCUUCUGGGUGCCACCUGACACUGCUAGGACGAAAGCGUGGGGAGCGAUAAGGAUUAGAUACCCUUGUAGUCCACGCUGUAAACGAUGCACAUUAGGUGCUAGGGAGUAUCGACCCUCCUUAGUACCAUAGCUAACGCGUUAAAUGUGCCGCCUGGGGAGUACGGCCGCAAGGCUAAAACUCAAAGGAAUGACGAAGGGCG
rnacentral:rRNA from 1 species